rnacentral:rRNA from 1 species
CCUACGGGUGGCAGCAGUGAGGAAUAUUGGUCAAUGGUCGAGAGUCUGAACCAGCCAAGUAGCGUGAAGGAUGACGGCCCUAUGGGUUGUAAACUUCUUUUAUGCGGGAAUAAAUUGCUUCACGUGUGGUAUUUUGUAGGUACCGCAUGAAUAAGGACCGGCUAAUUCCGUGCCAGCAGCCGCGGUAAUACGGAGGGUCCGGGCGUUAUCCGGAUUUAUUGGGUUUAAAGGGAGCGUAGGCCGAAUGUUAAGUCUGGCGUGAAAGUUUGCGGCUCAACCAUGGGACUGCCGUUGGAACUGGCAUGCUUGAGUGCGCGAAAGGUAUGCGGAAUUCGUGGUGUAGCGGUGAAAUGCUUAGAUAUCACGAAGAACUCCGAUUGCGAAGGCAGCAUACGGGAGUGCUACUGACGCUGAGGCUCGAAGGCGUGGGUAUCGAACAGGAUUAGAUACCCGAGUAGUC